AAAGAACUAGAGAAAAAAGACGAACUAGGAGAUUGAGCUUGGUAAAUUUGGCGAUCAAAACAUCAAUCGGAAAUCACGGUUCAGAGGCUUUAUAUAGCGGCACAAUCUCAAGAUCUCGGAUUCUACAACGUUUAAGGGUUUAUUCAUGCUAUUGUUAGUUAAGAUUGCUAGACAUGAAGCCGGUGAGGAACGGGUAGAGAAACUUUCACAGGACGUUUAUGUUAUUAAUUAUAUGUAAAGGUUCGUUUAUGAUUCUGUUGCUAUGAACGGCGAGUAACACCCAACUUUUUUUUUUUGACAAUUAAAUCAUUUUUUAAAUGGUUUUAUGGUUUAAAUAUAUGACUGGGAGAUUCCGCUGCGAAAGAAAUUAUUGAAAUCUAAUAUUUUUAUUAAAGAAAAAUGCGGGGUGUUACAAUUUUCUAGCCUUUCUAGCUAAAUAAACUUCCUAUUAUAUCCUGACACUAUAUAAUAUAUUUAAACCAUCCUCCCAUUUUAUAUAAACAAAAGUGAAGACAUAACAACCAUGGUAACGAUAAAGGUCCAAAUUUAUGAAACAUAACAAAGUGAAAUUUCAUAAAGACAUUAUUGACAAAAGUUGCGGGUGUAAGUUUUCGUAAAUCAUUGUUUAAAAGUAGUUUGUCAUUACAACCAAAGGCUAAAAACAAGUUUGGUUAUAUUUGCAAUCCAAUUUGGCGUAACUUUUCAUAUACGACUCUUUAGAUGUAUCAUGUGAAAGCAUGGUUAUGAAAAUCUCGACUAAUCUUCGAUUAAUCACUAAUUAAUCAUUAAUCGGAUGUUCACCAAUUAAUGACUAAUUAAUCGCUAGGCGGUCAAUAGCGGUUCUAUUCUGACUAAAUUUUGGCUAGAUAAAUGUCAUAUGUUUAAUCCAUUUACAAUUUAAUACUUUUAUAACACAUGUUAUAGCAUAAGUUUUAUUUCUUUUAUCUACUUAUGUUAUUUUUUAUCUUUGUUGUUGCAUGAACAUAAUAUUGGGCUAUGGGCUGAGAGUUUACAGGGUUCAAGUCUGGGCCAGGACACGGCCCGACGCAUCCUCCAAGUGCUAAUGGGCUGAUGGAUGGCUGGAAGAAGCUGGGCCUGACAGGAUGAAUCUGGGCCUGAACUAAUGCAUGUUAUAUAACAUGUGGUCAUCAUAAUUCAGUGGUGGGUUUUUUUUUACUUUUUUUUGUUCUCUCUCAUUUUUGAAACCUUCUAACAGAGAGUUACACUUUCUCUCUCUUAGGGUUUAUUUUUUUGAUAUUUCUUGAUGAUCUCAUUUAGUUAGAUCUAGUUUUGAGUGUAUGCGCAGAUCGUCAUAUUGAUGACCUGCUGUAAGAUUAAAUAUAUUUAUUUUAUAUUUAAUCUAGUAGCCAUUAUAAUC
rnacentral:lncRNA from 1 species